ensembl:lincRNA
AUGUCUUGGUACUGGCCUGGAGAGCACGGUACCUUGUGUUAUUCGUAUUUCAAAAUAAGAAAGUAUGAUGUUCCUAAACGUGCAGAUGAGACAGUCCAUUACCAAGAGGAAGAACACAGGCCCAAAGAACUAACAGAACCAGUUUCCCCAUCUGGUUCUGUGAGACACCAGGGCCCAGCGCUUAACCACCAUUUUUCAAGACUGAAGCCACUGGGAUGGGGCUGCCACACAGCCAGGAUGAGCGGCACACGGAUGUGUAGGAAACCACCCAGCACCCUAUCUGACACCAGGACCUCCCUGAGGGGAGAGAUGUGUGGGCCCCUGGAAGUUCUGAAUAACUCAAACCCAAAGGGCAGGAGCUGUUGGCGGCCCCAUGUUACAGAAGGAGAAGAAGCCCUACGAGACGUCACACAGCAAGUUCAGUGGCUGAGCCCGAGCUGGACCCCACGUCUGCCUGAAGGUAGAGCUCCAGCACUGAACCCCUUCCCCAAAUUUCUGCCCCACCCAGGACACAGAGGGGGACAUUCCUGCCCUCGCCAGGCACAUGCUCAGGGCAGUGCCAGGCUCAGAACCCUAUCCUUGCCCCUGCUCCAGGUGCAGCUCCGGCUCCGGGCCACCUGGAGGACUUUGCCUGGUGGACAAUGUAAACCAGAAGGCGCCAAGGCAACCUUUUGCGGGGCAGCGCUUCCUGUACUCACAUCCCCUUCCGCCACAGGAUCCUGUCUCCACUCCUCAGCCAGGAAGGUCUAGGGUGGGGGCUGCGUGCAGAGGGAGUAUACACACCCAGCCCGCAGCCAGAGGCCCAGCCCUGCCGUUACUGACAAUGUAGCAUUGCAGGGGCUGGGGGUUUAAACAAAGGAACUGAUGUACAGGGCUCAGAACAGCGCUCUGUGUAUUGUUACUCCUCCUGUCGGGGGAGCCCGAAAAUUCAAUGUGCUUCACAACAGCCUGAAAUGUAAAUGGGCAGACUCUUGGCACCUGCCCUAGAUACAUAAGGCUUCCGUCAACAACAGAGCACAUAUGCUUGUAACAGACCCGAGAAAUCCCUACCGGCCACUGUAAGGACGCAGGACAACACACUCCUCAUGUGAAUGAUGCUGAGGACCGACAAACCUGCCGGCUGCCAGUUAUACAAAAGCACCACACACCUCACGAUGUGCAGGACAAAAAGCCUGAUGAUGACACUUAAAGCACUACCCGGCUUGUUUAUGUGAUCACUAUGGGAGGCAUUUACCAUUAUCGAAGUGUAUCCUUCCUUGUAAAAUAAAGUCUACUAAUGAGGCA